rnacentral:rRNA from 1 species
GAUGAACGCUGGCGGCAUGCCUAACACAUGCAAGUCGAGCGGACAAAUGAGGCGCUUGCCUCUCUUCCGUUAGCGACGGGCGGGUGAGUCCCACGUGGCUACCCUACCUAUAAGACUAGGGUACCUUCGGGGAACCGGAUCUAAUACAGGUUCAUAUAUUGAACCUCAGGGUUCAAUGGAGCUAGACCGUUUUGCUGUCCCUAAUAGAUGGAUCCGCGCCGGAUUAGCUAGUUGGUAGGGUAACGGCCUACCAAGGCGACGAUGCGUAGCCGAUCUGAGAGGAUGAUCAGCCACACUGGAACUGAGACACGGUCCAGACUCCUACGGGAGGCAGCAGUGGGGAAUCUUGGACAAUGGGCGAAAGCCUGAUCCAGCCAUGCCGCGUGUGUGAAGAAGGUCUUCGGAUUGUAAAGCACUGUAAGUUGGGAGGAAGGGCAGUAAGUUAAUCCAUUGCUGUUUUGACGGUACCAACAGAAUAAGCACCGGCUAACUUCGUG